GACGAAGGUGGCAAGCGUUGUUCGGAUUCACUGGGCAUAAAGGGCGCGUAGGCGGUCUCGUAAGCGGCAUGUGAAAGCCCCCGGCUCAACCGGGGAAGUGCGUGCCGGACUGCGAUUCUAGAGGGUGGUAGGGGGGACUGGAACUCUCGGUGGAGCGGUGAAAUGCGUAGAUAUCGAGAGGAACACCGGUGGCGAAGGCGAGUCCCUGGUCCACUUCUGACGCUGAGGCGCGAAAGCGUGGGUAGCAAACAGG
rnacentral:rRNA from 1 species